rnacentral:rRNA from 1 species
GACGAACGCUGGCGGCGUGCUUAACACAUGCAAGUCGAGCGGUAAGGCCCUUUCGGGGGUACACGAGCGGCGAACGGGUGAGUAACACGUGGGUGACCUGCCCUCAGCUCUGAGAUAAGCCUGGGAAACUGGGUCUAAUACCGGAUAUGACUCCAUGACGCAUGUUGUGGGGUGGAAAGCCUUGUGCGGCUGAGGAUGGGCCCGCGGCCUAUCAGCUUGUUGGUGGGGNGAUGGCCUACCAAGGCGACGACGGGUAGCCGGCCUGAGAGGGCGACCGGCCACACUGGGACUGAGACACGGCCCAGACUCCUACGGGAGGCAGCAGUGGGGAAUCUUGCGCAAUGGGCGAAAGCCUGACGCAGCGACGCCGCGUGAGGGAUGACGGCCUGGUGU